CUCCUCCCCGCCGCCCCGCCGCGGGCUCCCGGGCCCCGCGGGGGCCGAUCCCCCCCGGCCUGCAGCCCAGCCUGCGGGGGGCGCAGCGCCUAGUCCCGCCCGCGUCGCCCGCCAGCCCCGGGACAGCCCGCCUGGCGCGCGGGGCUCUGCGCGCUGCGACCCUCCCCGGCAGUCCCGCCCGCCUCUCCUCGCCCUCUCUCUGCCUGGCCUCCAACUUUGCCUCUCGCUAUCCUCUCCGCCGGCGCCCCCUUUCCCGGCGGUCCCCGGGAUGGUCCCCGGCACCCCGAGGACGCCGAGGUUACGGGAAGUUCGGGGACUGGCGGGAGAAGGGGUUUGGGGGUGGUCCGCGGCGAGGGGCGCGGGGUGCAUCUUCUCUUCCUUUUAUGGGCUGCCACACUUGUGUAUCCCUUCUUCCUUGAAUUUAACCAGGAGUGAGCAGUGGACAGCUUCUUCCCUAUGAGAAGGAGGUGAAGCAGGACCUGAAAUCCCGUGCUCAGCUCCCACAUGCCCCGUGUCCAGGACAAGUCCUUUGCUGAAUCAGCGGCAGACACCACCCGGAGCCCUGCGGGAGCCUUUCCCUGUUCUUCCAGCAUGGAUCUGAAACUCCCUUCCCACUUUCUGCAGCCUCCCAGAGAUAGUUCAGGCUCCAGCCUCAUGUGAUAGCAUGAAGAGAAACUGGUUCCAACAGCUGUGUGCUCUGCUGCCCUCAUCCCAAACAACAGUUUAAAUGCACAAUUACGCUUUUCUCUAAGGCCCAAAAUAGGAUAGGAAAGAUCGUUUUGCUAUCCCUGAAUGCCUGUCACCCUUGUUUCGUAAGCAGGAAGUCAGUCCCAGAAUAGUUGUUCUGCUCCCUCCCUUCUAAUAAGUGCUGCGCUGAGUGUGCUUGCUUUGCCAGAUGGUUAAAACAGAGCAGGGGAUAGAAGGACAGAUGUCUUCACCCUCAUGGAGUUCACCUUCCAGUAGGAGGAGGCGAUAGGCCGGGGUCUGCACAUGUGCGUGCUACAGCCUGUUCCACGGUGCGUGGCGUGCGGGGCAGGUGAGCGGCUCAUGCCAUCCAGAGAGCUAGGAAAGGGGGGCUGCAGUUUUAGCAAGAUGGGCAGGGAAGGCCUGGAUGAGAAGGAGACCACUGAGCAAAGACACCAGGAGUGGGUGCAGAGAGCUGAGGGCACUUCUAGAAGUGCCUGCUGGGAUAAUGGGGUGUCUGCCAGUGCCACGGCCCUGAAGUGCCACUAUACCUGGGGUUUUUGAGGAAGAACAAUGGGGCCAAUGGCUGGAAGUCAGGACAUAGGGGCCAGCGUCAGAAGGUAGCUGACAGAAGAGGUGUGUGGAGAGGAAGUGGGAGGGAAAGAAAUCGGGCCAUGAUGGCGUCUAUGGGCCUUUUGAUUUUGACUCUGAGUGAAAUGGGGAGCCACGGAGGGUUCUGGAGAGACGAGAGCCAUGCUCUGACUUCAGUCUUCCCAGGACCCUUCUGGCUAGUGCAUCAAGGACACAUAGUGGCAGGGAAAGAGUGAAGCAGAGAAACAGUUAGGAGACAGCCACAGUGGUUCAGAGGAGAUAGGCUGGUGGCUUGGACCCCGGAGGCAGAAGAGGCCACGGUCAGCAGGGAUUGGAUUCUGCUUAGAGGGCCACCAGGCAAGCCUGGGCCGGCUGUCCAUUUUGACCAUGGACCAAGGCUGUCCAUUUUGAUGGAAAACUCAUUCUUCUUCUUCUUCUUUUUUUUUUUUUUUUUUUUUUUUUUUUGAGACAGAGUCUUGCCCUGUCACCAGGCUGGAGUGCAGUGGUGCGGUCUCAGCUCACUGCAACCUCUGCCUCCCAGGUUCAAGUGAUUUCCCUGCCUCCCGAGUAGCCUGGACUACAGAUGUGUGCCAUCAAGCCCAGCUAAUUUUUUUUUUUUUUUUUUUGUAUUUCAGUAGAGACAGGAUUUCACCAUGUUGGCUAGGAUGGUCUCGAUCUCCUGACCUUGUGAUCCGCCCCUCCCUCAGCCUCCCAAAGUGCUGGGAUUACAGGCGUGAGCCACUGCACCCUGCCAGAAAACUCAUUCUUCUACUCCAUCCUACAGUUUUCCCUAAGAGAGAAACAAUAAAACGCCACCACGACCAAUGGCAAAAAGCUGGCACCCACUCCACGACUUUUCAUAUCUACACGUUUGUACAGCUUUAUUUUUAAGCAUUCUGAAAUUCUAUGCAGGAGAGACCCCAGCUAGGUUUAGGGAGUCCUAGGGUUUGUGGAGUAAAUGAAGUUUCUCCCUAGAAUUAGGGAGGGUAGAGACAGGCAGAGAACUGACAAUCCUAACAGCUGCUGUCCUCAGAGCCACUGUUUCUGAGAGCUGCUCGCUGAGUGCUUCUAGCGAGUUAAAUGGUGUUCGCCCAAAAGACCUGUUCACGUCCUGAUCCUGGGAACCUGUGGCUGUGAUCUUAUUUGGAAAAAGCUCUACAUUACGUCUUUGCAGAAGUAAUCAUGUUAAGGAUCUUGAGAGGACGUGACCCUGAAUUAUCCGGCUGUGCUUGACAUCCAAUGACUGGUGAUGUUGUAAGAGAAAGACGGAGGGAGAUGUAAGAUAUGAGAGAAGGCCACGCCGAGACUGGAGUGAUGUGGCCGUGAGCCGAGGAAUGCCUGGAGCCACCAGAAGCUGGCAAAGGCAGAAGGAGCCUCCUCUGGACCCUGUGGUGGGUACGCAGCCUGGCAGAUAUAUUCAUUUUGGACUUCUGGCCUCCAGGGCUGUGAGAGAAUACAUUUCUGCAGUUUUAAGCCACGCAAUCUGUGUCCCUGGGAAGCCCAAAUAGGGCGAGACCUUUUGCCAAGUGGUCUCCAAGUGUCACGUCAUCGAAUCCUUCUCCCGGGCUUGUGCCAUAGUCUUUCCACUUUAGAGAGGAGGAAACGGAGGCUCUGGGGCACAAAGCCAGUCAGUGGCGGGGCCUGACUUUCAACCCAGCCUGCAUGGGGUCAGAGAACCCACUUUCCCCGUGGGGCCUGCGGCCUAUGCUAAGGAUGCUUGUUCAUCUCUCCUGGGCCCGGGAGUGGUUCUUCUGGCCUAGAAGGCAAGAGAAGCCAGUCUUUCGGUUUCAAGGUUUCCCAUUAGUGGAGUCAAGCAAAAAUGGUGUGUUGCGCUUCUUCCUGAGCUCAGCCUGGGAGCACGGCCUUAACAUGCUCAGUGGAUCCCAAGACGGCAGCAUGGCGGUGCCAGCCUGGCAGCCUUAGCUCCUUGCAGCUGUGCUUGUGAAGGGAGCAGUGAGUGGCUUCCCUCUGUGACCACCUUGGGUCCUAAGUUUCACUGGGGCUGGGAUCCAUGCGUCUUGCAAUUGGCUAGGAAUUUCCCGGGCUUUCCCUCCCUUCCCUGUUCAGGGCACUGGGUGUGAGGCAUUGCAUCCGUUCUUCUGCUCACCUGCUUCCCCCUAAGAGUGUGAGCUGUAUAAAGGCAGGAACCAAACAGGAGCCUCCACGUGUUCCCAGUUCAAGGGCAGUGUCCCUUGUGUGUUUCUUCAAUAAUUCAGUGGAUGACUUAUUCUGCACGGACACUGCACACACUCGGCCCUGCCGUCUCCGGAGCUGGGAGGUGUGGAGCUGGCUCCUGACCUAUUUACACACUGAGGAGGGAUGUGGAAAACAGGAGGAGUCCCAGGGCUCCAAUGCAAAGAGGAGCCUCUUCAUUCCCUCUGCCGUGGCCGUGCAAGGGACAGCGCCUUGUGGGAUUGUGUCCUCCACCCAAUUAUCCUUAGCAUUAGUUUGCUAAGGAUAAUGGCCUCCAGCUCCACCCAUGUCCCUGCAAAGGACAUGAUCUCAUUCCUUUCUGUGUCUGCAUAGUAUUCCAUGGUGUAUAUGUACCGCGUUUUCUUUAUCGAGUCUAUCAUUGAUGGGCGCUUCAGUUGAUUCCAUGUCUUUGCUACUGUGACUCGUGCUGCAAUGAGCAUUCGCGUGCAUGCCUUUAUGGUGGAAUUAUUUCUAUUCCUUUGGGUGCAUACCCAGUCAUGGGAUUGCUGGGUCAAAUGGCAUUUCUGCCUCUAGGUCUUUAAGGAAUUGCCACGCUGUCUUCCACAAUGCAAGCAAGACGUUAUUGAAAGUGUAAAGGGGGCUGCUAAUUACGCUGGGGCAGGCGGGGCAAACCAGGACCCUGCCAGGCGAGUCUAGGCCAUGGCCCCACACCAGAAGAUGAGGGCUGGAGACUCCUGGAGAGGAAUCUGAGUGGCGAGACCACCUGCAUUCAUUAUGUGUCAACUCUGCCAGGUGACAGUCCCCAGUGAGCCCAUCAAACAUGAACCUAGGUGCUGUUGGGAAGGUCUUUGGAUGCCAUUAACAUCUACAAUCAGUUGGUUUUCAGUAGAGGAGAUUAUCCUCAAGAAUGUGGGCGGGCCUCAUCCAGUGAGCUGAAAGGCCUUGAGAGCAGAACUAGGAUUUUGGAGGAGGAUGAAGUGUUGCCUCCGGACCGCAGCGUCACCUCUUGCCUGGGAAUUUCCAGCUUCCUUUUCAGACUUCGGACUUGCCUCCAAGCUCCCUGAAUCUUUUCAUAUAUUUAUGUCCUAUUGCAGAUUGUGUUUCUCUGGCUGGACUGUAACUGAUGAGGAGGACUGAAAUUCCAGGCUUGGUUGUAUAGCAUAUAAGUGAGGUCAUUUGGGUCUGGGGAGCUGGGGGGGGGGUCCUUCAGCUGCAUGAGUGUGACCUGCACCAAGGUGCCUGGCUACCUGGGGCGAGGGGGCUGCCAUCUAGCCCACACCCCACUCCUAGGCCGUGCACCCUGGCAUGGGUCUAUGUCUGGCUCAAGGAAGGGUUCCCUCCUCCCUCCAAUGUGCACAGAGACCUUGAGAUCCCAUCCACCUAACCCUGUGCCCUCAGAAGCCUCCUCUGAGAGGGGGCACCUUUUCCUAAUUCUCACAAAGGCUAGUGGCUACCUUGUAGAUAGCCUUGGAUGUGUUAGGACACUUUUCUGAACAUCAGUUCCUUAUCUGUAAGAUGGGAGUUGUGUCCUCAAUGGGUAAUUAGAGAUUAUUCAUGGGAAAUCCUAUCACGGUAUCUACCACGGGGAGACUCACAAGUGCUGAUCUUUGCUGGUGUUGCUGCAUUUGUUAUUGAAUGCAUUCGUUAGGAGUCUUGUUAGUAAGUGACAAAAAUCCAACUCAAAUUGGCUUACACUAAACAAGUUUCCUGCAUCUGGGAGUAUAAAGGGUGACGCUUUGGCAGAGGCUGGCUCUGGAAAACGAGGACGCACAUUUGUGCCCCCACUUUCCUCUGUGCGGCGUCCUUCUCUUCAAGGCUUCCCCCAGUUUGGCAAACACGGCCCCAGCAAUGUCAAGCUGAGAGCACCUUUUAAGAAAGACCCUUCCUUCCAUGUGUUUUGGCAAAAGUCCCAUGAAGCAGUAUGAGUGGCCCGGUUUGGGUCAUGGGCUCACCCCUAAACCAGCCGCUCUGGAUGGAUUAGUUCCAAUUGGACAGGCCAUGGUCUUGGACUCUUUGGGUGAGUGUGGGAGGGUGUGGGAGGGAAGAUUCAUUGAACCUCAUCUCUACUACAUGGUACAGCUCCCUGGAAGAAAGAGGGGCUCCAUUACCAGAAGGAAACAAGGAAUUUUAUGGGGAACCACAUUAUCACUACCACAAUCUACCAUGCUAUACAUAAGAAAUGCACCUUGGUCUUAAUGCACGGUCUUGAGGGGGUGCAAGCUGAAUCCAAUUCCCAGCGUCUGGGUCAGUGUCCCUCAUGGGGGAGCUGCCUCACUUAAGAUUCCUUUGGAUAGGUAAGGUAGAACACCAAGCUGCGCGGGAUUAUGAAAAGAAAGGGAGAAAUUCACUGGCUCGCAGAAUUGAAAAGCUGAGAUCCAGCUGUACUUUUAAGCCUGAGCCAUUCUCCAGCUCCUGGCCCUGCCUCUCGCUGUCUUGGCUUCACCCUUCACAGACUGCCCUGCAAGGACCGAGGUGGAGUCUCAUUGGACUGGCUCAGGUCGUGUGCCUAGUUCUGAACCAUCCACUGUUUCCAGAGGGAUGGGGUAUCCUGAUUAGCCAGGAAGAAGUCAGACGUCUCUGAGCUAACUUUACUGAGAAUUGGGUAGAGGAGGUCCCCCAAAAGUAAAGUUGGGCACUGCAGUUCAGGAGAAGGGUGAUCACUGGUUGCUAAGCAACCAUAAAGUAGCCAGCAUCUCCUGUGGGUUGGGGUUUGCGCCUGUGAAUGGACAAGUGGCACUCGGAAAUUAAAUGCAGUGCAUCCAGUGCUCAAGCUCCUGGGCUUCGUCUGCUCCACACUUUUUCCUCUGCCCUUUGGGCUAAAGCCGUUGGGUUUGGGACAAGAGAAGGGGAGAGCUGGUACCUCUUCCCUUUUUUGCCCAGGAAAGUUGUUUCUCCAUCAUUUCAUGGCUCAAAGUCAUUAAAUCUGAGUAAUUCUUACAAACCAGAUCCAGGAAGAAUCUAGGAGUGGGCUCUCUGUAGAUUAGAAUGCUUCAGGCUGCAGGUAACAGAAGACUUGACUGGAAAUGCCUUCAACAGAGAAGGGAUGUAUCAUUUUCUAGAAGGAGAAAUUCUGCAGCUGGGACGGUUCCAGGGUUGGUUUCUUUGGAAACUCAGAACUUCAUCGAGGCUCUGGAUUCAUUUCUUCUUUCUGCUGUGCCAUUUCCAGCCUGUUGACUUGGCCUGGGCCAGCUGUCCUCUCACGCUCAUGAUUGCUGCCUCUGCUCCUGCCAUCACAUACACAAGCAGUGCCUGUUCAGUGGAACAAAAGGAAAUCAAAAAGAGGAAUCACAUUGUCCUGUGUCUCUACAAUGUUUUUUUUUUUUUAAAUCAUGAAAACCGUUCCCAGAAACCCCACAACAGACUUUCUGUUUCAUCUCAUUGGCCAGAACAGUAUCACAGGAGACUACUGGGAUUGGCAUAGACUAGCUAGGAUGCACCCUUAGAGCCCGUGGAGGACGGCAGACAUCUGAGCAGAGCUGGGCCUCAGCGGGCAGGGGAUGACAGGGACUGGCAGGCAUCCUUUUGGUCACUCAGAGGACUUCCUUCAAUCCACCCAGGGCUGGUUGGCAUCAUAAACUCAGGAUGGCAGCACUUGGAUGGCUGUGGUUGCUUUGUCUCCAGUGAGUGCCCCAGGAAACCAUCUCUUCUGGUCGCCACACGGCUAUUUGGUGAGCUGCUUGCUGGGGUGAGCUGCUGCUGAAUGGGUGUGGUUGAAACUGGAAGGGUGAGGUCCCAAAGCCACUGUCUGCCCCUGGGUGACUGCAACAGGUAGCCCCCCCACCAACUUCCAGGCAAAUCCGUGGGAAAUGGAACAAGGUAUCAAGGGGAACAGGGGAGUCAGGCCACCAGGGCCCCACUGAGGAAGGCACCUGUUGCACCAUAUUUUGACGUCUUGAAUGUGUAUCCACUGGCCCAGGGAGUGGCUUAAUUACCAGUGUAAUAGCAGGUCCACUUACAGCUUCAGGUUUCGUAGAGGAAAAAGCAUCAUUGCAAAAUGCUUUUGAUGUGGUUAAGCGGUGAGGCCACAGUGAAUUUUAAGUGCUUGGUAAAGCGCAUGGAAAAAGAAAAGCACAAGUCAUACUUGGUAAAGGACAUUUCCCUUCCUAGAUGCCAGGUGUGAAAGGAUGCCAGGAAUAUUCUCUGCUCUUUCCUCCUGCUUCCUGAAGGACUGAGUCCACACUAACUAUUAUCAAACAAACAAACUUCCAGGGGAAAAGACUGCAGAACCUAUACAUUCUUUAUAAUUGGAAUCACAGCUAUACAUUCUUUAUAAUCAGAAUAACAGCUCUACAUUCUUUAUCAUCGCAGCUAUACGUUCUUUAUAAUCAGAAAGUGCUUUCUGGCCAGGCACGGUGGCUCAUGCCUGUAAUCCCAGAACUUUGGGAGGCCAAGCCAGGUGGAUCACCAGAGUUUAGGAGUUCGAGACCCUCUGGCCAACAUGGCAAAACCCCGUCUCUACUAAAAAUACAAAAAAAAAAAAAAAAAGCCCAGUGUGGUAGCAGGCGCCGGUAAUCCCAGCUACUCAGGAGGCUGAGGCAGGAGAAUCGCUUGAACUCAGGAGGCGGAGGUUGCCGUGAGCCAAGAUCACAUCACUGCAUUCUAACCUGGGCAACAACAGUGAGACUCCAUCUCAAAAAAAGAGAAAAGUGCUUUCUGCUGUCUUACUGAGGUCCCUGCUGCUCUGCUAACUCCUUCUCAAGCUGAGAGGUAAAGCAGGUGCUUUACUUCUGUGUGGUCAUGUGUUGGGUGCCUGCUACAUCAAAACGCUCUUCCAUAUGCAGAGAAAAUCAGAAGGAAGGGAGCACUGAGUGGCUAGUGGGCAAAGGGGAGAGACAGCGAGACCAACACAUGCCACAGAGCUGCCUUUUAUAUGAAUUCAAAUUCUGGGAUUUCGGACUAGGGCAAUAUGACAAAUAUUCAUGGACUUUCACUAGACCAAAAUUGGAAUAAAUGCUACACACACCCCAAUUUUUAAAAUUAGUAAAAACAUGUGACUUUAAAGCAGGCUGCCUACGUUGAUAAUAAACCACAUUUUCCCUAACGUGAAAAGUCAGUGCCAUUCGAGCUUGUCGACAGAAAUACAGAACAAUUCCUCAGUGAUGUGUGCUUCUUUGCAAAAAUCAGCCUUGAAUUAUGCAGGUUUGAAAUAGGCAAAAUCUUCCUAAACAAAUACUUUGCAUACAAUACCUCCAACCUCUAUUCCAGUAUAAUGUUUAAACUCUGUGCUAGAUGUCCACUUAGUUCUUUCAUUGAUGUGAAGCUAUUUCAUUAGGAGUCAGCAACUAUGCCCUGUGAUCUGACCCAAUGCCUGUUUUUGUAAAUAAAGUUUUAUUGGCACACAGCCACACCCAUUCAUUUACAAUUCGCAGAUGGUCACUUUCUCACUCCAAUGGAGUGGUGGCCACAGAAACCGUCUGGCCCAGAUGUCUAAAACAUUUAUUAUCUGGAUCUUUAUAGGAAAUGUUUGCUGGCUUUAGAGCGAGGAGUUUCAUCACUAGGAUAAGCGACUCCAUUUUCUUUUACCUAUGGAGAUUUCUCAGCCUUGCUGCACCUUAUUGCUAUAACUCUG
rnacentral:lncRNA from 1 species